CCAGGAAUCUGUAGGACUCCACCAUCUCGAUGUCCAGACCCUGUAUGUUCACUGGAACUGUUUGAGGUGUCCCCCUCCUGCGGAAAUCCACAACCAUCUCCUUUGUCUUACUGGCGUUGAGCUGGAGGUGGUUUGUGCCACACCAGUUGACAAAGUCAGUGAUGACAGUCCUGUAUUCCCACUCAUCCCCUGACGAUACACAUCCGACGAUGGCUGUGUCAUCAGAGAACUUCUGGAGGUGACAGCUCCCAGAGUUAUAGCUGAAGUCAGAGGUGUACAGGGUGAAGAGGAAGGGGGAGAGCACUGUCCCCUGUGGAGCCCCCGUGCUGCAGACCACCAUGUCCGAUACACAGUUCUGAAGCCUCACAAACUGUGGUCUGUCGGUGAGGUAGUCCACGGUCCAUGCGGCUAGGUGACAGUCCACUCCCGCCCGCUCGAGCUUCCCCCUGAGCAAUGAAGGCUGGAUGGUGUUGAACGCACUGGAGAAGUCAAAAAACAUGACCCUCACAGUGCUGCCAGUGUUAGCAGGGGAGCACAGCUACUGGUAUACCGAUGGAUGGUCGCCCGGGGGACGUCAUCCUCAUCGACCGAGCGCAGAGCUUCGGGAGGGACACACAUGGAACGGCUAGGGAGGAAGGGGACACCCGCCUAGCCAGCCAGAUCAGCCGAAUCAACCCUAGCGAUCAAUGGGGUGACAGAUGUCGCAGCCAGAUCGCCCUCACAUGUAGAAAAAAUUACAACCAGAGCUCUGCUACAAUAUAAGAUUUUGGUGCUCUAAAACUUCUCUGAAGCCUUUGCUGAUUAAUAGGAUAGCCGACUCUCCAGCAUUAGCUGGUACGUCCCGUAUUUGAGCCAAAAGAGGCGCGUCGGGGGAUUUUGUCCCCGUCGGCGGAGUUGUCGGGGAAGAAGCAAGCGGCUAAAAUACGGAGGGAUCUGGUAAACCGGCGCGGAUCCGGUGUAUUUAUCAAAGCGUGGUGGCCGUGCUGAGGCACCGGGGGGAAUUUAGGCUAAACAGUAAGUCAAAAUAAAACGUUCACACUUACAGAUGCCACGUUUGUAGUAGGAUCACGGAUAGUUGGUACGGAUCCAUUCUUUAUCUUCAGACAUCUAGCAAAUCCAGCGUUGAGUUGUCCCUCGUUGAUAAAACAGUCUGAAGUGAAAUGGUGCGCACAUACGUAAAGAUAUUUUGGAAGUGCCGCGGGUACAUUCCCAUUAUAAAUAAAAUCCACCCAUUGAGUCCUCAAAUCCUCCGUCGAGGGAGUUUUCAAAAGAGUUUUGUGCUCGUUUGCGGAGCCAACAACAGAGCAAACACUGCCCCUUUUUUUUAGAUAGUACUUUCGCCAUGGUUCUAACCGGAGCAAUGCGAGCGAGCAGCCGGGAAUAAUGGCGGUGUUUUGAUAACUUUUUGGGCAGGUCAGUGGGCGGCUCCAUGGGCAGUACCAUCAACCCGCCAGCACUGACAUGACGUCAUGUCAGUGGAGUUUUCAGAACGGCCGGCUCUGAGCACACAGUUCCUAAAUACGGAGAUAACUAAAAAAUGACUGGAUGGAAUUUUUUCGAACUUGGGGGGAUUGUAGCGGUUUUCUAUCCCUGAUAUGCACCCCCCCCCCCCCCCCCGUUAACGAAGUCAGUUUUUCAUGCCAUGGCCCCUUUAAACUGGAAGUUUGUCCGCUGUAUGACAGCUGCAUUUGAGCAAAUAAUGCCAAAAACUGUUAACUGAUGUACUGUCAGCAAUCAUUUAGGUCCUGUUCUCUUCAAGAAAAGGUAAUUAGGUUAGUGUUGUCACAAAACCAAAUAUUUGGCCUCAACUCUGUGGAGUCAAAAGGAGGCCUGGAAGCAUUGCAAAUGCAAGAGAGCUAAUGUAAACAAAAAAAAAAUAAUUGUAAACAUAAGUAAAGUAUUGUUAACAAAAUACAUAUAUACAUAACUGAUCACAGAAUUUUAAAAAAGGGAUUUUUUGCAUUUACAAAACCUAUUUUUUUUCAAUUUAUAAAACUUUUUUGCUUUUACAAUAUUUUUCUAUGUUUACUUUAUUUUGCUAGCUACAGCACAUUUUCAGAGCCUUUUCAGGUUUAUCAUGGUGUGUUGACACAUGAUAAAGCCUAAAUCCUAGAAUAAUUUAUUAACUUUACAUACCUGAGAUCCUGGACUUGAAGCAUUGGGCUACCUUGAACCACCACUGUUAUGGUUUGCCAUGAUUCUAUGGUUUUGUUUAAAUUUUUCUCUUUGGUCGCGCUACUCAUCUAACCCCGCCCCCACUGACACACCACUCAUCUUACCCCUGCCCCCAUGUCAAAGAGGGGCCAGAAUGUUUUGUAAGUGCAGAAAAGUUUUGUUAAAAAAAUUCAAGUUUUCUGAAUGCAAAAAAUACCUAAUUUUUAAAAACUCUGUGAUCAAUUAUAUAAUUUUUUUUGUUUACAAUGUCUCACUUGCUUUUGCAAUGCUUCCUGGCCUCUUUUUGACUCCAUACAACUCUUGAUAUAAAGUUUGAUAUCUCAGUGACUGGUAUCUGUUGGAAGUAUAUUUCAGAAGCUCUGUUGAUUAAAGUUUAAAUUUUUUCAUAAUAGAAAAAUCCAGGCUGGCUAUAGAAGGUGGUUAAAAAACAUAUAUGGGACAACAAUUGGCUCUGGACCCAUCACAAUUCAUUUACUAGACACCUUAAGGAUAACAAUAUGCUAAGUUAGAAAAAUAUAUCUUUAAGUGCAGAAGAAGUUACCUCUAGCCACACACAUACCUGCUUUAGGAGGGGUUUGGUGGUCUUCACCCUGGGUCUGUAUGCUGGUCUGAGCAGGAUGGUGUUUGGUCAGAGAUUCUGAUGUGAGGGAGGGAAGAAGCCCUAUAUGCUCCUUUUCGGUCUGCAUGAUUAACAUCACCAGCAAGGAUAGGAAAGGCUUCUCAGUUGGCUGUCAGUUGAAAAAGUUUAUUGAGUGCCUUCUUUCCAUCAGCAUUAUAAGCUCUGGGAGGAUUUUAAACAGCGGUCAGCAGAAUUGUUGUAAAUUCCCGCAACAGAUAGAAAGGAUGGGGCUUUAUGAUCAUUAACUCCUCCAGGGAUGAACCUGAGAAAACCUGAGUUACUGUCUAUUAGUUGUGCUAAAGAAAAAAAAAAACUGGCCUGCUGGGAGCAGGUCUGGUCAGUCUGACAGCAGGAAGGGAAGACUUGUGUUGUCUCUCUGUCACACAGCACAGAUGAAGAAGCCUGUCACUGAAGGAGCUGUUACAAUGCUCUGCAGGGGGUGGGAGACAUUGUCUAUGAGAGAUGAUAGCUUAGUCAUCAUCCUCCUGUCCCCAAACUCCUCUACAGAGUCCACAGGGCAGCCCAGGACAGAGCUAGUCUUCCUCACCAGUUUGUUCAGUCUGUUCCUGUCUGCAGUCUUGAUGCUGCUGCUCCAGCAGACCACUCCAUAGAGGAUGGCUGAGGCCACCACAGUCCUAAUAAAAAAACACAGGGGUGCUCUUUGCACACCAAAGGACUGCAGUCUCCUCAGAAGGUGGAAUCAGCUCUGGCCUUUCCUGAAAAGUGAGUGUUGUCAGUCCAUAAUCUCGAGGUCCUUUUUCUUAAGCCUCCACAAGGAUUUCUCCUGCCGCUCUUGUUGUCAUGGUGAAUCUGUAAAACUGCAAUCAAUGGCGGAGUCUAUUUGAGAAGGCCGCAUGGGCCACUUAGCCAGGAUUGGUAUUACAUGGCUCGAUGAAUCCAUGUACUGUAUACUCAUCCCGCCUUGGUUUUUGUACAACCAAUUAAGCCUCAACGUGCUUGUUUAGGAUUCCUUGAACCCAGCUCAGUCAUUAAUCCUGGAUAUCUUAAUCCUCGUUUCGUGCAAUAGGCCCCAGGAGAUAGUAUGUUGCUUUUCGAAGUGUUUACAGUGUGUGUUGAUAAUGUGAUGGACUAAAAGUGUUCUCUGACGAGUGUAGGAGCAUUUAGACCUGAAAACAGUUUCAUGUGGAUCAGCACCCGCUGCCUUUUUUUCCUGAAGCAUAUCUAAGCUGUUUUUUUUUUUAAAUUAUUUUUAUUUAACCUCAUUUUGAUCUUUCACCUUUUUUUGUUGUCCCAAUGAAAAAUAAUUUUCUUCCUCCUUCAGUUUCCCCCCCUCAUGCCUUGUCCUGAUACUCUCUCAUAGUCCUUAAAAUGAUCAAUUAUUAUCUUCUACCUUUUGUAGUUUUCAGCACACAUCUCAGACUCAUCUCCGUUCUGAGGAGCUGGGCUGAUAAUGGGGACAAAAUGAGCAGGAUAACAAAAGAUCCUGUGCAGUGAAUUGUUCACUCAGGGUGACAGCUUCUCAUUAUGAACUCACACAUUCACUAGGUUGCAUAACAUCAAGUUACAGCGCAGUGUUUUACCAAAGCAAGCCAACCAAAGCAGUAUUAAUAUUUCUCUCUGCAACACAAAGCUAAAGAAAAUGAUUCUCAUUCUCAUUUACUUCCUAAAGCAUAUCUUUCUUUGUUUGAGGUUAAAUUCCCUUGAGUGACCCGUCUGUCCUCUCUUUACUUUUCCCUAUUCAUUUUUGCACCCCUUCCCUGGAGUAUAGCAUACAUUUUAGGACACCCUUGAGUAUCAGAGUCAAGUCUCAGACCUCAGAUAAAACAGCCUUAGGUGUCAGACAAAAGGGCCUCAGGUCUCAGGAAAAACAUUAUUGAUAUAUAAUGAUGUACUAUGUAUUGAUGACAUUCCAUUGGUCCUUGGCCAGCUUGGCCCGCCCGCUGCUUACUGUCACACAUGAGAGAGUUUUUCCUGAGACCUGAGGCCAAUUUUUCAUACACUGUGUGCACAAUUAUUAGGCAAGUUGUAUUUUUGAGGAUAAACUUUAUUUUUGAACAACUACAGUGCUCUUGGUCAAUCCAAAAUAUUAAUAAACCUCAAACCUUGAUAUUUAAGGGAGUAAAAGUGAGAUUUUGACUUCCUUAGGAGAAUAUCUAUGUGUGCACAAUUAUUGGGGGCAGCUAUAGUGUGCAGAAUUAUUAUGCAACUAAAUUAAAAAUGAAAAAUUUUCCAUCUCACUUGUUAAUUUUCACUUGUUCAAGUGAGAAUGAUAAACAAACAACUCAAUUUACAAAUAAAAAUUGUUGAAAUUUAAAAAAAAAAAUCAGUGACCAAUAUAGCCACCCUUCUUUUCAUUAACAGUCAUAAGCUUUCCAUUCAUGGAGUCUUUCAGUUUCUUGAUCUGUUGACGAUCAACUUUUUGUGUUGCAGCAACCAAAGCCUCCCAGACACUGUUCCAGACACUGUUCAGAGAGGUGUACUGUCUUCCUUCACUGUAAAUUUCCCGUUUAAGAAGGGCUCACAGGUUCUCAACAGGGUUUAGGUCAGGUGAAGAAGGAGGCCAUGUCAUUAUUCUUUCGUUUUUAAGGCCUUUACUGGUGAGUGGAUUUGGGAGUUGAUUUUAAGUCCAUCUUUAACCCAAAAGGUCCAGCUAGCUCAUCUUUAAUAAUACCAGCCCAUACCAGUACCCCGCCUCCACCUUGCUGGUAUCUGAUUCGAAGUGGAGCUUUACAGUUAAUUUGCGUCUUUUUUUCUUAACACAUUUCUUGCGACCCUGUUGACUAUUUGCAUCAAAAUGUUUGCUGAUUCUGUCAUCACGCCCAAAUAUCUAAGCAAUUUCAAGAGUGCUGCAUCCCUCUGAAAGACUUUUUACAUUUUUUGACUUUUCAGAGUCACUUAAAUCUCUUUUUUUGGCCCAUUUUACCUGAGGAAAAGAAGCUGCCUAAUAAUUAUGCACACCUUGAUAUAGGGUUUUGAUCUCCUUAGGCCCCAGCCUCCCUCAUUACACUAAUACACAUUACCUGAUAUGCUUAUAUCCAAUAAGCAUUCAAGUUUAUACAGCUUGGAUUUGGAAAAUAUGCAUAAAAAUGAUGAUAUGAUCAAAAUACUCACUUGCCUAAUAAUUGUGCACACAGUGUAUGAGGUCUGGGACUUAGAAUAGAAUAGAAUAGAAUAGAAUAUUCCUUUAUUGAUCCCCCAUGGGGAAAAUUUUUUUGUCACAGCAGCAUCACAGACAAGACAAAAAGUGCAAAAAUGCAGUUAUAACAAUAAGGGUCCUAAUAUUAAGAACUUAAAUAAAUGUAAUAAUUAAGAAAAAAAUUAGAAAAGGGAGAAGAAAAAAAAGCUUUCUACAAUAUACACAAUUUAAAUGCCAUAAAAAAAAAAGUGGUGGUGUAAAUCCAGUUUUGUUACUGUUCAUUGUAAAGUCUUAUUGCAGAGGAGAGGAAUGAUCUGCGGUAGCGCUCCGUCCUGCAGGGUGGGAGUCUCAGUCUGCUGCUGAAGGAGCUGCCUAAAGCCACAGUCUGGUGCAGUGGGUGAGAGGGAUUGUCCAUGAUGGAUACAAGCUUUGUUAACAUCCUCCUCUCACCCACCUCCUCCAGGGAGUCCAAAGAGCAGUCCAGGACAGAACCGGCCCUCCUGACCAGUCUAUUCAGUCUCUUCCUGUCCCUCUCGGUGCUCCCUGCCCCCCAGCAGACCACUGCAUAGAAAAGUGCAGAUGCUACCACAGAGUCAUAAAAAGUCCUGAGCAGAGUCCUGCACACUCCAAAGGACCUCAGUCUCCUCAGCAGGUGGAGACGACUUUGGCCCUUCUUGUACAGAACGUCUGUGUUUGUUGACCAGUCCAGUUUGUUGUUGAGGUGGACACCCAGGAAUCUGUAGGACUCUACCAUCUCGAUGUCCAGACCCUGUAUGUUCACUGGAACUGUUUGAGGUGUCCCCCUCCUGCGGAAAUCCACAACCAUCUCCUUUGUCUUACUGGCGUUGAGCUGGAGGUGGUUUGUGCCACACCAGUUGACAAAGUCAGUGAUGACAGUCCUGUAUUCCCACUCAUCCCCUGACGAUACACAUCCGACGAUGGCUGUGUCAUCAGAGAACUUCUGGAGGUGACAGCUCCCAGAGUUGUAGCUUAAGUCAGAGGUGUACAGGGUGAAGAGGAAGGGGGAGAGCACUGUCCCCUGUGGAGCCCCCGUGCUGCAGACCACCAUGUCCGAUACACAGUUCUGAAGCCUCACAAACUGU